rnacentral:rRNA from 1 species
UACGUAGGGUGCGAGCGUUGUCCGGAAUUAUUGGGCGUAAAGGGCUCGUAGGCGGUUUGUCGCGUCGGGAGUGAAAACACUGGGCUUAACUCAGUGCUUGCUUCCGAUACGGGCAGACUAGAGGUAUUCAGGGGAGAACGGAAUUCCUGGUGUAGCGGUGAAAUGCGUAGAUAUCUGGAGGAACACCGGUGGCGAAGGCGGCAUCCUGGACCGGUAUUGACGCUGAGGCGCGAAAGCCAGGGGAGCAAACGGG